UAUUGGAAGAAUUUGUUUGCUGAUAACCAUCGCGAUACGCGAGCCCUUUCCCAGAAGAACCCUAACUCUCGACGAUAUUUUUCCAGGGGGUGCUACCUUGGAAAUGGUAUAGGGGUUGAGAGUGUGCCACAAAUAUCUUGGAACUACCCAGAAUUUUUUGUUCGUUACCCAAGCUUGUCAAAAGAAGUUUGUGUGGGUUUAAGGAGAAGAAACACUCACAAAACGACGACAUUCUGGAAACCCUAGGAGACUUCACAAGCAAAGAGAAUUGGGUCAAGUUCUUCACCCCCCGCAACGACUCCUUCGAGUGGUACGCGAAAUGGCCCAACCUCUGCGACCCUCUCCUCUCCCUCCUCCACACACUCUCCUCCUCUCAGUCCCACCCUCUCCCCCUUCCGCUCCUCGUCCCUGCCUACGAAAACUCCUACCUCUCCGAACACCUCUACGACGCCGGCAACACCGCCAUCACCAACGUCGACUUCUCCAAGGUUGUCAUCUCCGACAUGCUCCACCGCAAUGUCUGCGACCGUCCUCUCAUGCGGUGGCGCGUCAUGGACAUCACUGCCAUGAAGUUUGAGGAUGAGAGCUUUAGUGCGGUUAUUGACAAGGGUGGAUUGGAUGCGUUGAUGGAGCUCGGGCUCGGCUCCAAAUUGGGGAACUAGUACCUCUCCGAGACACUGGUCUUGGUUUUGGCGAAGGUGGUGGAUCAUCAGUGAGAGAGCUUUGUGCAAGGGAAAUGGCAAUUGUAUAUGAGCAACAUUACAUGACCAUUAGCCUUUUUGAAGGUACAACUCACAUCAUUGUUCUCUUGGAUAGGACAUAUGACAGAGCUUUGAGGCACAAACUUCUUUGACUUCUGAAGGUGUGUUUAAUUUUCCCUAACUUUGUCUUCUGAGUUGGAAGAACUAGGAACAAUUAAUUUGCUUUGCUAUAUAGAGUACUAAUAUUUUGGAAGGUAUUUGGAAAAAAAGAAAUUACAUUUUAAAUGUAGAUCUUUGUUGUUGCUAAUUGCAAUUUGUAAUAGGAUUGGUGCUCACUAUUGAUUUAAUGAUUAUCCUCAACAAAAUUUUUUUUAAAAGGCUCAAGGAAACAUUGUAGUACUAAUAUGUUAACUCUAUUGUUUGAAAUUUUAAAUCAACUAUGGUUUACUGAAUUUUAGGCAUUAAUGAAGGUUUUAUCAAAUGUAGAGGCUUGCGUUCUAGUUAGAGGUUGUGUAUUAGUUGUUGAUCUGCUAACUGUUGUCCAUGAAACUUCAGAGAGAACUUCUAUUCUGUUGCAAUCAAACUUAAUUGCUACUACUACUUUUAUGGGAACCACUUAAGGAAUGGACGUAUAUUGACAAAGAUGGUAUGAAACUUGGGCCUAUGGAAAAGAUGUUAUUAGAAGGCUGUGGUCCAAGAAGGCUAUUGAUUGGACAACAUGAUUUUUGGCUUCUGGGAUGCUAGAUUGGAAGAAGUUACAUGAUAUAUGUUAGAAUCAUGCUGCAGUUGGAAGAUAAUAUUGAUAAAUAGUUGUUUUUGUGAUGUUUUCCAUAGCUUCUUUUCUUCUCAUAUGCUAACCAACUUUUCUUUAAUCUUUUGUCAAUCUUCUUUUUUUGUUAGUCUAGAGAUGUGCUUAUUUAUAUUUGAAUGACUUGAUCUUUUUGGGGUACUUGUUAAGAUGAGAAACCAAUAUUAAGGUGCAUUUAUGUUGAAUCAUUCAUAACUAUAAGUAAGUAACGCGCAUAUUGUCAAGUGCACACUGCCUUCGUCAUAUUACACAGGUAAUUUUAGGAAUCAUUCAUGCUUAUAUUCUCUUUUAGAAUGAAUUAUUCUACCAAAGCUUUUUUUGUUUAGUUUUGCUUCCAGUAAGAAUACAUUUAUGCAUUUUAUAAUUUGUUAAAUUUAAUAUUCAGUUGGGAAAAAACUGUUAUUUUUAAUAUUCAGUUGCUUUGCUCAUCCUAAAGAAAAAAAAAUAACAUCCAUGUUGAGGUCUCAUUCGAUAGUGUAAUAUUAAUUUAUAUGGAUAUUACCAUAUUUUCAAUUCUUUUUUUGUGAUUUUUUUUUGAAAAAUAUGAAUUAAAGUGAAAACAAGUUGACAUCAUAUGAUUGCUUGCAAUUGGCUAGUGGGGGAAGUACAAUGAAGUGAUUGAAGAUAGUGCCCAUGAAUAUUUAUGAGAAAUGCUAAUGAUACUUAACACAUAUAUAUAAGCGGCAGGUAUUGUUGAUUUUUGUUUUGCUUCUAUUUGUCCUUCAACUUUUACUGAUCUUGCUCAACACUAUUAUUUUAAUUUAGGAUUGAUUUAAGUGAAUUUUUGUUUUAGGAUUUUAUACGUUUAGCUUUUGAGCUAGCUAUUCUGAAUAUCAUACGAUGACAUCAACCUGCAUUUCGUAAUUCACUUUAUGAGGGAUAAAAAAAAGCAAUGCAUGCCCUUAGGUUUGGCUAGAGAUGUUAUAGGUUUAAUUCCUGAUGUAUUAAAAGAUAAAAGAAACAUCUUGCAUCGAAAUAUUAAGCAAGGUGAAUUUGUAUAUGUUGUACACUGGGAUAUUUCUCUACCACCCUGUCAUACCAAUUAUAUUUUCAAAACAUUUACAUUUUUUUGUCUAAUUUAGAUUUACGCAUAUUUACAUUCCAAAUUUCAAGUAUUUCAUUUUAAUUUGCAUUCUUCUCUUUAUUCUUCUUAAACUUUCUUUUAAUUUGGAUUGCUUUUAAUUUCCUUACAAAAAUUUACGGUUUUAUCAUUGUAAUUGCCUGAAAUUUGAUUGCUUUUCUUUAGAUUUUUACAUUUACUUUUCAAAGUUCAUUUACAUUUACGAGUAUAUGAU